rnacentral:rRNA from 1 species
UGAGGAAUAUUGGACAAUGGGCGCAAGCCUGAUCCAGCCAUGCCGCGUGCAGGAAGAAGCAUCUAUGGUGUGUAAACUGCUCUUGUACGGGAAGAAACACUCCUUCGUGAAGGAGCUUGACGGUACCGUAAGAAUAAGGAUCGGCGAACUCCGUGCCAGCAGCCGCGGUAAUACGGAGUAUCCAAGCGUUAUCCGGAAUCAUUGGGUUUAAAGGGUCCGUAGGCGGUCUAGUAAGUCAGUGGUGAAAGCCCAUCGCUCAACGAUGGAACGGCCAUUGAUACUGCUAGACUUGAAUUAUUAGGAAGUAACUAGAAUAUGUAGUGUAGCGGUGAAAUGCUUAGAUAUUACAUGGAAUACCAAGUGAGAAAGCAGGUUACUACUAAUGGAUUGACGCUGAUGGACGAGAGCGUGGGGAGAGAACA